UACGUAGGGCGCAAGCGUUGUCCGGAAUUAUUGGGCGUAAAGAGCUCGUAGGCGGCUUGUCACGUCGGGUGUGAAAGCUUGGGGCUUAACCCCGGGUCUGCAUUCGAUACGGGCUGGCUGGAGUGUGGUAGGGGAGAUCGGAAUUCCUGGUGUAGCGGUGAAAUGCGCAGAUAUCAGGAGGAACACCGGUGGCGAAGGCGGGUCUCUGGGCCGUAACUGACGCUGAGGAGCGAAAGCGUGGGGAGCGAACAGG
rnacentral:rRNA from 1 species